AUAACGUUAAUCGUUGCGGUUUGGGAAAACGGCUCCGAAAUCAAUGCCAAAAGGUCAAGUUUGUAAUUACUGUAUCAGAUUCUGUUUCCUCAUAUUUAAUAUGGACUCGUGAUCAUUGAACUCCCUCUUGUGUGUUUGUAAUGAUCAUCAGGAUUAGUGUAAAGACUCAUGUAUAUAUUUAAGCAAUAGCUCACGACAGGCCGUGGUAUACGCUCAUUGUAUCACAGUUAAGCGGCGACCCCCUUAACUGUGAUAUAAUGAGUGUAUAUCAUGGCCUGAAGUGAGCUAUCACUUUUAUAAAACGGUUACAUGUAUGGCAAAAUGAAAGUAAUAGACAUACUACAAUUUGAUUUGUUUUAUUUCGUCAAAAAGGCCUUUUUUUAACAAAUACAAAAAGUAGUCCCUCCUUGCUGCCUGCACAGUGCACGGCGGUUGCUAUGCAACACACUGUAGCGUUCCUCAGAAAGAAGGCUGCGAGACGGUAGCUGGGUUCACCGGCAAUUAAAGUUUGCAGGCUACUGAGGGCAGAAGCCCACGCGAAGACUACAACCAUUCAACCUCACCGUGUGGUUUGAGCUCUCACAAGCAAGUGGCAGCAGUGCAGGGCAUAAUGCCCUGCAGAUACAGAGGCAUCCCAGAAAGCACAACACACCCAGCCUUGAGGUGGAUGGUCUACAACAGAAGACCAUAUCAGGUUCCACUCCUGUCAGCCAAGCACAGCAAGCUGUGGCUACAGUGGACACAGACUCACCAACACUGGACAGAUGAAGGAAAAAAAUUGUCUAGUCUGAUGUAGAUGUUGGUAUGAUGUGCUCUCUGACCAACUCAGUCAUUUCCCACAGUGUUUAGCCUAGAAUGAUGUUAAAGGAGUAUUAAAUCAGUUGUGCGUG